rnacentral:rRNA from 1 species
UUCCGGUUGAUCCCGCCGGAGGCCACUGCUAUGGGGGUCCGACUAAGCCAUGCGAGUCAUGGGGCGCCUUGCGCGCACCGGCGGACGGCUCAGUAACACGUCGGUAACCUACCCUCGGGAGGGGGAUAACCCCGGGAAACUGGGGCUAAUCCCCCAUAGGCCUGAGGUACUGGAAGGUCCUCAGGCCGAAAGGGGCUCUGCCCGCCCGAGGAUGGGCCGGCGGCCGAUUAGGUAGUUGGUGGGGUAACGGCCCACCAAGCCGAAGAUCGGUACGGGCCAUGAGAGUGGGAGCCCGGAGAUGGACACUGAGACACGGGUCCAGGCCCUACGGGGCGCAGCAGGCGCGAAACCUCCGCAAUGCGGGCAACCGCGACGGGGGGACCCCCAGUGCCGUGGCAUCGCCACGGCUUUUCCGGAGUGUAAAGAGCUCCGGGAAUAAGGGCUGGGCAAGGCCGGUGGCAGCCGCCGCGGUAAUACCGGCGGCCCGAGUGGUGGCCGCUAUUAUUGGGCCUAAAGCGUCCGUAGCCGGGCCCGUAAGUCCCUGGCGAAAUCCCACGGCUCAACCGUGGGGCUUGCUGGGGAUACUGCGGGCCUUGGGACCGGGAGAGGCGGAGGGUACUCCUGGGGUAGGGGUGAAAUCCUAUAAUCCCAGGAGGACCGCCAGUGGCGAAGGCGCUCCGCUGGAACGGGUCCGACGGUGAGGGACGAAGGCCAGGGGAGCGAACCGGAUUAGAUACCCGGGUAGUCCUGGCUGUAAAGGAUGCGGGCUAGGUGUCGGGCGAGCUUCGUGCUCGCCCGGUGCCGAAGGGAAGCCGUUAAGCCCGCCGCCUGGGGAGUACGGCCGCAAGGCUGAAACUUAAAGGAAUUGGCGGGGGAGCACUACAAGGGGUGGAGCGUGCGGUUUAAUUGGAGUCAACGCCGGA